rnacentral:rRNA from 1 species
AUUGAACGCUGGCGGCAGGCCUAACACAUGCAAGUCGAGCGGAUGAAGGGAGCUUGCUCCUGGAUUCAGCGGCGGACGGGCGAGUAAUGCCUAGGAAUCUGCCUGGUAGUGGGGGAUAACGUCCGGAAACGGGCGCUAAUACCGCAUACGUCCUGAGGGAGAAAGUGGGGGAUCUUCGGACCUCACGCUAUCAGAUGAGCCUAGGUCGGAUUAGCUAGUUGGUGGGGUAAAGGCCUACCAAGGCGACGAUCCGUAACUGGUCUGAGAGGAUGAUCAGUCACACUGGAACUGAGACACGGUCCAGACUCCUACGGGAGGCAGCAGUGGGGAAUAUUGGACAAUGGGCGAAAGCCUGAUCCAGCCAUGCCGCGUGUGUGAAGAAGGUCUUCGGAUUGUAAAGCACUUUAAGUUGGGAGGAAGGGCAGUAAGUUAAUACAUUGCUGUUUUGACGGUACCAACAGAAUAAGCACCGGCUAACUUCGUG